UUCUGUGAAGAACUUAUUACUACAAAAGAAAGACUGGCAAGCAAGUGCAAGCAAUGGAAGCUUGAAGAUCUGUAAACCAGGAAGAUUCCAAAGGAGAAUGUGGCCAGGAGGAAGGCAGUUUGAAUAAGCUGGCACAAACUGUUUUUACUCACCUUUUCUUCCUUGGACUCUGAGGAAGGAGCUAUCAGAGAUUUACUCUAUCUUUCUGGCUACUGGCUUCUCUUUGAAAGACAUUUGAAACUUACAGCAGAAUUCUUGGAGAAGGAUCAAAAGCAUAAAAUUGAAAUUCAUCUAACAUUUAUGGUCUGCUGUGAGCAGAGGGCUGUUUGAGGCACUCCAGAAAAUACAAAGCAUAGAAGCUUCCCUUUUUGGGAAAAAUGAAAUAAAACAAAAUAUGCUGAUCAAAAUGAGCAGAAAAAGAGAACAAUAUUCAUAAUGUUUAUAAUAGGAUAAAUGAAGCAAUGGGAAAAGGCAGCCCAACUCAGGUUAAUUGUAAUGCGGUAAUCUUGGUCCUGAAAAACACUUCAAUACAGUUCAGAAUUGAAUACUGUCUUGUACCUGAGACAAAAAGAACUAAUCAAAAACAACAAAUGGAGUGAUGAUUCCCUUGCUCUCUCCCUCUGCCAGGAGACUGGUUCUAUCCCAUCUCACCCAGGCUGGAGGCACAAGAGUGACUCAGGACCAUUUCCACGACCAACUGACACUGGAACCAUGAUCUGCUCCAUUUCUGAAGACACACCAUUUCAUCUUCUCUCUGGCUAUUACCUUUCUACAUCAAAUUUGGGCUGAAGAAAAAAGAGUCUUGCCCAGAAAAGAUUCCAGCAGGGUUACUGCUAUUUUCCCUCAGGGGAAGAAAUUUUAUUCCUUUUGAAGAGACUUACACCAAAGCCUUCAACAAGUGAUAUAAACUAAAUUCUGUUUCCUCUUAUUUCCUUCUCCAAGAGAAUACAUAGAUUCUUCUUUUUUUUUUUUUACUAAAGAAACUGUUCUGAAGGUUUUUGUAAUUAGAGGAACUGACUCACCAUCUGCAAGGCAAACUUCAUUAGGAUGAUUAGUGAGGAGAACAGGAAGUAAAGAGGUACUUGGAAAUCAGCUUCCUUCCUUCAAACUACUUCCUGGUGUAACAUCUUUUGAUUUCCCUUAUUAUCUCUUACUAAUUUCCCUCUCUAAUACACCUCCUUUAAAGGAACUACCCAGUGUGCUGAAGAUCUUCUUCUAGGUCUUUGAACAUUCUGUGGAUACCAAUGCAACCCCCACGCUCAUAUCCCUUACUCUUAGCAUAUAACCAAAUUAUCCUUGUUUAGCUCAUACAUUUUAUAGUUUACACAUAGGCAUGUGAUAGGAAAAAGGAUAGAGGAUUUGAAACUUACCUAAUAAGUUAUUUAAAUAGAGUUACUAUUUGACCAGAAGAUGGCAUAUAUGUGAACCACAAAUUCAGUUUAAGUUAAACUUCUUUUUUAAGAGACACUGAGUAUACAGAAAUGAAAAGGAAGCUUAUAAUGGCUCCAAAUCUCUG
rnacentral:lncRNA from 1 species